UGGUUCCCUCCAAGAUUUUUCCACCUAAACCAAAUCCGGCUUCAAUUCCAUUUUCCCCCAAAUUCGCUACCUUCACCCUUUCUAGUGUUCUUCUAUCUCUAUAUCUUCCCCUCCAUAUCAGUAUAAACCUAGAAUUCACGCUUUUAUUUGUUGCUUUUCCUCUUUUGUUCUCUCGCUCCUCCUUUCUAACCGGCGAAACUGGCGAUGUUAAUAAACACCGGCGACCCUCGUUCUACAAAUCUAUCGGCGAAACUGCAUCAGCUAUGUUCUUGACAAUCAUCGAAGUCCCUCCUUCCAGUGCAAAAUAUUUGUUAGGCUACAAGUAAUUAUAGGGUGUGAUCUGGUGGUUUUCGUUGCAAUUCUAGUUGGGCAUGGAAGAUCUAAUCUUUAGUUGAUUCGUAUAGCCAAACUAAACUAUUGUCGGGCUAGAUUUAGGUUGUUAGGGUUUAUGACUUUUUGUACUUCAACGCAAGUGAUUCCUUGAGUGAACCAUGGAAACGAUCUUGAGUUGUGACAUGCCUUCUCUGGUCUCAUACCUGAUAUUCGUACUCAGAGGAGGUUGAGGAUAUACACCCAGUGGAAUCAAAGUAUCAGGAGUAUUGUUGAGAAAAAACUAGCAAUUAUAGCAGAUUAUGUGUUCGAGGUCACUAAAGAGGACGAAGGAGAAUGAUGCAACUACAAUUAGUUAUCAGUGUGUAAAUAUUUAGAGGUUGGAACAUGUUACUUGUUACACAAUAUGUUUUGGAUUGAACUUACAAUUGAGGAUAUAAUCUAAUGAUUUCUUCAUUUACA
rnacentral:lncRNA from 1 species